rnacentral:rRNA from 1 species
UACGGAGGAUCCGAGCGUUAUCCGGAUUUAUUGGGUUUAAAGGGUGCGCAGGCGGGAGAUUAAGUCGGCGGUGAAAUUUUGCAGCUCAACUGUAAAAGUGCCUUCGAAACUGGUUUCCUUGAGUGUAGAUGAAGUAGGCGGAAUUUGUGGUGUAGCGGUGAAAUGCAUAGAUAUCACGAGGAACUCCGAUUGCGCAGGCAGCUUACUAAACCAUAACUGACGCUCAGGCACGAAAGCGUGGGGAUCAAACAGGAUUAGAUACCCGGGUAGU